AUCGACCUGGGAUGUGCGUAAGCCUUUCAAUUAUGUUCAACCUACGCGUUGUUUACGGGAGAUCGAUGUAUGUGCGGCUGUCAAGCCUCCAAGUCAGGGGAAGACAAAGGCAGUACCAGAUCACCCACCUGCUGAGAGCGGGUCUUGAACAUAAGAGAGGAACGGCAUCGCGGGUUUUGU
rnacentral:other from 1 species